GGGGAUGUAGUUCAGUGGUAGAACACUUGCCUAGUAUUCAUGAGGGCUUGGAUUCCAUCCAUGCUCCCCU
rnacentral:tRNA from 1 species